GGUGAACGCUGGCGGCGUGCUUAAGACAUGCAAGUCGAACGGCAGUCUUCGGAUUGUAGUGGCGCACGGGUGAGUAACGCGUAACUGACCUACCCCAAAGUCGCGGAUAACGAUUCGAAAGAAUCGCUAAUACGUGAUGUGCUGUCAGAUUGUGUUCUGCCAGUAAAGAUUGAUUGCUUUGGGAUGGGGUUGCGUUCCAUCAGCUAGUUGGUGGGGUAAAGGCCCACCAAGGCGACGACGGAUAGCCGGCCUGAGAGGGUGGCCGGCCACAGGGGCACUGAGACACGGGUCCCACUCCUACGGGAGGCAGCAGUUAGGAAUCUUCCACAAUGGGCGAAAGCCUGAUGGAGCGACGCCGCGUGAGGGAUGAAGGUCUUCGGAUCGUAAACCUCUGAAUCAGGGACGAAAGACACUUCGGUGGGAUGACGGUACCUGGGUAAUAGCACCGGCUAACUCCGUGCCAGCCGCCGCAGUAAUAC
rnacentral:rRNA from 1 species